AGAGUUUGAUCCUGGCUCAGAUUGAACGCUGGCGGCAGGCCUAACACAUGCAAGUCGAGCGGUAACAGAAAGUAGCUUGCUACUUUGCUGACGAGCGGCGGACGGGUGAGUAAUGCUUGGGAACAUGCCUUGAGGUGGGGGACAACAGUUGGAAACGACUGCUAAUACCGCAUAAUGUCUACGGACCAAAGGGGGCUUCGGCUCUCGCCUUUAGAUUGGCCCAAGUGGGAUUAGCUAGUUGGUGAGGUAAUGGCUCACCAAGGCAACGAUCCCUAGCUGGUUUGAGAGGAUGAUCAGCCACACUGGAACUGAGACACGGUCCAGACUCCUACGGGAGGCAGCAGUGGGGAAUAUUGCACAAUGGGCGAAAGCCUGAUGCAGCCAUGCCGCGUGUGUGAAGAAGGCCUUCGGGUUGUAAAGCACUUUCAGUCAGGAGGAAAGGGUGUGAGUUAAUACCUCACAUCUGUGACGUUACUGACAGAAGAAGCACCGGCUAACUCCGUGCCAGCAGCCGCGGUAAUAC
rnacentral:rRNA from 2 species